UGCCUCAGGAAGCCGAGCUCGUCUGGAUCCACCAUGGCCUGGGCUCCUCUGCUCCUCGCGCUGCUCACUUAUUGCUCAGGGGCCAGCUCACAGCCCACGCUGACCCAGCCGCCUUCGGACUCCGUGUCCCCGGGAACCACUGUGAAACUCUCCUGCACUCUGAGCAGUCAGCACAGCAGCUACAACGUUGGAUGGUACCAACAGAGAGACGGCCAGGCCCCUCGGUUCCUUUGGUACGGCUCUAGCACCAAAGGAGAUGGCGUCCCAGAUCGAUUCACUGUUUCCAGCUCCGGAGCCAUUCGCUAUUUAACCAUCACCAACCUCCAGCCAGAGGAUGAGGCGAUGUAUUACUGUGGUGCAGAUUAUGGCAGUGGUAGCAGCUAUGGGUAA